rnacentral:rRNA from 1 species
GACGAACGCUGGCGGCGUGCCUAAUACAUGCAAGUCGAGCGGAAGUUGAAGAGCUUGCUCUUCAACUUUAGCGGCGGACGGGUGAGUAACGCGUGGGCAACCUGCCCUGCAGAUCGGGAUAACUCCGGGAAACCGGUGCUAAUACCGAAUAGUUUUCGCCACCUCCUGGUGGCGUACGGAAAGACGGUUUCGGCUGUCACUGCAGGAUGGGCCCGCGGCGCAUUAGCUAGUUGGUGGGGUAACGGCCCACCAAGGCGACGAUGCGUAGCCGACCGGAGAGGGUGAUCGGCCACACUGGGACUGAGACACGGCCCAGACUCCUACGGGAGGCAGCAGUAGGGAAUCUUCCGCAAUGGACGAAAGUCUGACGGAGCAACGCCGCGUGAGUGACGAAGGUUUUCGGAUCGUAAAACUCUGUUGUGAGGGAAGAACAAGUACCAACUAACUACUGGUACCUUGACGGUACCUCACCAGAAAGCCACGGCUAACUACGUGCCAGCCGCCGCGGUAACAC